rnacentral:tRNA from 1 species
GCCGGAGUGGCGGAAUGGUAGACGCGGCGGACUCAAAAUCCGUUGGGGGAUAACCUCGUGUCAGUUCGACUCUGACCUCCGGCA